AACGAACGCUGGCGGCAUGCCUAACACAUGCAAGUCGAACGAGACCUUCGGGUCUAGUGGCGCACGGGUGCGUAACGCGUGGGAACCUGCCCUUAGGUUCGGAAUAACUCCCCGAAAGGGGUGCUCAUACCGGAUAAUGUCUUCGGACCAAAGAUUUAUCGCCUUUGGAUGGGCCCGGGUUGGAUUAGCUAGUUGGUAGGGUAAAAGCCUACCAAGGCGACGAUCCAUAGCUGGUCUGAGAGGAUGAUCAGCCACACUGGGACUGAGACACGGCCCAGACUGCGACGGGAGGCAGCAGUGGGGAAUAUAGGACAAUGGGCGAAAGCCUGAUCAAGCAAUGCCGGGUGAGUGAUGAAGGCGUUAGGGUUGUAAAGCUCUUUUACCCGGGAUGAUAAUGACAGUACCGGGAGAAUAAGCUCCGGCUAACUCCGUG
rnacentral:rRNA from 1 species